GAAUUUGCCGUCUUCUCGCUCUGUCAUAGUCCGUUACUGUGUUGCGGCAGGAGGCAAGCUAUGAAAAUGCGAGUGAACUAAUCCACUCUGCUGAAUAUUUACAAAUAGUAAUGGAGAGGAUUACAAAGAUGGAUAGUGGACAUAUCAAAGUGGAAGCCAUCUGCCCAUGACUUCUCUUUUGCCCUCUCCCUUCUUCCUCAAUAUGAACACUCCUCCAUCACCAGAUUGGUGAAGAUGGAGGACAGAAAACAGGCACUUUUGAGCUGGUUGCUUCAGUAUGCUGUUGUACAUCAAGUAUUGGUGAAAUUGUCAUAAAGCACACAUUGGAAGGGAAACCCUACUUGAUAUUGGUGUCUCAAAGGGGCAUAUGUCAAGGCUAUAGGGAGCGGACUGGUGAAUGGGUUGGACAGAGUAGAGUUCCAUCACAUUAACUGGACAAACAUAUUUGUUAAAAUUGAUGGGAAGCCAAUGAAAUAGUGGAGGUUUUGGCUUUUUGAGCUGCAAAAACGACAUUGGGUUGGGUGUCUGUUGCUAGAGUUCAGCCAAAAGCUGCUGCUGAAAGUUACAAGAGAUUGAAGUUUGAUGAAGAAGAGUGCCAUAAGGGCCUUGGUCUUCCAAAUGUAACCUUUGAUGCACAAACUGUGGAACAACUUAUCCUAGUUUCACAUGGUGCAGAUGAGAUGCUUGAAUAGAACAGUAAAUGAUAUGCAAAAAUAGAACAGAUGACCAAUCAAAGAAACUUGUCAACAUUACAAUUGCUACCAAGGUAUCCUCAAUUCGCGGAAAUUCGACAGUUGUCCGGAUUUGUGAAUUUCCGGCCAGACAGACCCGCUACCGAAAAAGUCUCCGAACUGGAUCAAGGUUUUGGCUAUCCCCCCAUUGUCAAACGUCCCGAGCGCGUCCCAGGAGUCGGAAUCGGCAAAGAUGAGCCGGGACAGCCUUCUUCCUCCGCCCAGCCGCCACAGUGACCGUUGUCAAGUCUGUGAGUAAAAUAUUAAUUUUAAUUGUAAUUUCGAUAUUAUUAUAUGUUCAAGCAUGCCCAUGCAUCACUUAUAUGUAUAUAUCUAUGUAGUUAAAAUUUAGGCACGAUUUAUGUUGCAUUCAUAACUGUUAAAGUGCCAUGGAUGUUGUUGUGGUAAUUUGGAGCAGUGUGCGUGCGUUAGCGUGCGUGUGAUGUGGUGUGGACUAUGGAUAGGACGGGUAGACACGGCUUGAGAUCUUCGCUGGGACCCGGUCCUUCGGGGUAGUCACGGCUUGAGUUCUUCGCUGGGACCCCGAUUUGGUUUAUUAAGCGAAAGUCCGGCUUGAGUUCUUCGCUGGCACCAGGUUGGAUUUAAGAGAGCUGUAUAGGGGAUCAGCUCCCAUAUAUUAUGAUUGAUAUUAUUGGGUGUGUGAGUGCUCCAAAUUACCUUUUUGCUGUUAUGAUGUGAAAUUGUUGCUGAUGUUGCAUUUCACUUUACAGGUUGCAUUAGUUUUAGAUAGUUAUAGAGAUUAUGGUUAAAAUUGAUAUUUUACUCUCUGAGUCGAACGCUUACUCCUGUUCAAUAUUUUUUCAGGCCACAGGAAGAUAUUUUUGAGGUUAACCUGCUUUCUCCCUCGCAGGUCGAUUAUUAAUGUUUGUAUAAACUUGUUAAAUCUUAGAAUUUCCGCAUGUGUUAGAAAUGUUUAUUUGAUUUGGGUCUGUAAACUAAAUUGUUAUUUUGGACCUGUAAACUUAAUAUUCUAUGCAUGUUUGAUGGAUUGGAUGAGGGAGCUGAGCUCCCAUUUAUUUUUAUGCUGAUGAGUAUGUGGAGGGUGAGCUGAGCUCCCCAAUUGAGUA